GUCGAUUUGAUGAGCUCUCCAACAAGCCCGAUGUUCCUGCUGAUGAUUAGUCUACAAAGUAUCUAAUGGGCAAUUCUCCAUGGAGAGAAUGGUCAUUGCUCAUUGAGAGGAUGGUGAAUGGCUUUUGAUUAGAUUUUAGGGAACAGGGAUGCCUCCAAAAUGAUCCCAUUGGCUAGGACUUUGAAGAGGACAAACUCUUGUAAGAACAGGACCUCCACUGUGCCAGCAUCUAAAGGUUUAGAGGCAGCAGGACGUUGUGGAUACAGUACUGUAUUUCCAUCGGGGAAACCUGGGUUUGAAUCCUGCCUCAGAUUCUUGGGAUUCUGGUUUUCUCCCUCUUAGAUGCCACUGGCUUCUCAUUUGAUGAACAGAUGAAUCCAUCAUCAUGCCUUUCUGGGAGUCCUGCUGCAAACAAAGGAUAGCACUGAGCACUCUGCGAACAUACAAAUAGAAAAUACUGUAGUCCCUGUCCUCAAGAAAUUGAUAGUCUGACUUGGGAGGUAAAAUAGACAAAAAAAAAGAAAAAUAACAAAAAUAUAU
rnacentral:lncRNA from 1 species